GACGAACGCUGGCGGCGUGCCUAAUACAUGCAAGUUGAGCGCUGAAGGUUGGUACUUGUACCAACUGGAUGAGCAGCGAACGGGUGAGUAACGCGUGGGGAAUCUGCCUUUGAGCGGGGGACAACAUUUGGAAACGAAUGCUAAUACCGCAUAAAAACUUUAAACACAAGUUUUAAGUUUGAAAGAUGCAAUUGCAUCACUCAAAGAUGAUCCCGCGUUGUAUUAGCUAGUUGGUGAGGUAAAGGCUCACCAAGGCGAUGAUACAUAGCCGACCUGAGAGGGUGAUCGGCCACAUUGGGACUGAGACACGGCCCAAACUCCUACGGGAGGCAGCAGUAGGGAAACUUCGGCAAUGGACGAAAGGCUGACCGAGCAACGCCGCGGGAGUGAAGAAGGGUUUCGGAUCGUAAAACUCUGUUGGUAGAGAAGAACGUUGGUGAGAGUGGAAAGCUCAUCAAGUGACGGUAACUACCCAGAAAGGGACGGCUAACUACGUG
rnacentral:rRNA from 1 species